AACAGAACAAGAAAAAACCAUUGUCAUAAAUGAACCAACAACCAUGCUGGUAUCAAAAGAACAAGAAAAUUCCAUUGCAACCAGUGAACCAACAACAAGGCAAAGUACAACAGAACAAGAAACAACAAUAACAACUACCCAUCCGACAACAAGUGCAGGUGCAACAGAACAAGAAACAAAUGUGAGAAGUACACCCGAGCAAAAAAUGACAUUCCAAGUGGAACAGAGCAGGAAACAACUACCCUGACUAGUUCUGCAACGGAGAAAACAAAAACACAUCUGACUAAGUUUUCAGUAGAACCUGAUUCUUCAACAAAAUUAUCAAAUAAUCAAGUUGCAACACAACAACAAGAAAGAAUGACUUCUCAAUCACCAAGUGUAGUUGAAAUAACCACAAAGGAUGCUACAUCUGAGGUAACAACAAACUGGAACGUAAAAUCAUCAGAAUCUCAAGCUCCAGCGAAACCUUCGAUUUCUGAUAGAGACGAGGCUGUUUCUUAUGUAGGACCAAUAGUUAUGGGAUGCUCAGUAGUUAUCUUUCUUCUGAUAUCUAUCAUAGUGUUUGUUUACUGGAAGAUAAAGACAACAAAAUCGCAGAAAGGGAAUACAGACGAAAUGGACAGCGUGGAUUCUUCCUAUCAAGUAAAAAGGUGGAGCAUCUAUACUGGACAGCCUGGAUCAUUUUUAAAGAAUACUCCGGAAAAUUCAUGGAAUUUUCGACGCGCAGUUAGACUUAAUACCAGUGAGAGAGAGGACGUUUUCAGUCAAAUAAAGCAAGAGUCCUGGACAACAGCCUAACUGGAUAUUGUACAAGUGUGGCAUUUGAUUAUUACAUUUAUUAUCAUAUAUAUUGUAAUAUUAUUUUGAAGAGUCACUGAGGGCGGCUCACAUUCUUUGUUGUUAAUAAUGCAAAAAUCAUUCCCAUAGUUUAUCAAUAGAUUGCCAUGGUCUUUCGUUUUUACUUAUUCGACAAUGCAUCAAAUUUGAAAAAGACGACUACGCUAGAUAAGAGAUCUUCACAUCCCUCCUCUUCAGUUUCAUCGUCACUUCAUGUCGCUCAGUCUCUAUUUUUAUAGUGUUUUAAUGAUUGCUCUUGUUUCCUUCGAGACAAAGAAAGGAAUGUGCUACUUCUUUGUGUUUUGGUAAACAAAUCUGUGCCUCAGUAAAAUAACAUAUUUCUGUGUGUUUUGUAACCUUUGCGCUAGAAUGUCAAAACCCAUGUUCAUCUGUUAACAAAGUAUACGUUACGUCAUCUUAUUAUUUUUUUAAUAUGGUUGAAAAAUUUCACUUUUGAAUGUCAAUAUCCUUUCAUUCUGUAUAACACUUCUCAUCUGCAUGAAGACAUUUUUUUAAACAAAUCUAAAAUUCCAGUAUACAGGAAUUGGAAACUAAUUUUUCACCGACUGAUAAAUCAUUGAGAAACUUUCUUUUAAAAUGGCGUCAAAAAUGUAGGGAAAACACAUAUUUUCUGGGACGUAAGGAUAAUUUGCAUGUUAUUGUCUUGUAUAUAAAAUAAAUAUGACAGGGUUAAAAUUUCCCAGAAAUUUAAGAUAUACGGAUAAAAUCUACCUAUCAGACGAUUCUACAAUUGCAUACAAAUAACAAAUAAGUAAACAGAAAUCCUACCUUUUAUCUGUCACCGUUCUGGAUAUUAAAUACUAUCGAUUCGAAGCAUGUUUGCCGGGGUAGAUUUGACACAGUGUUAUGCGCAGACCAUUUAUUUUUUGUUGAGGGGACGAGGCAUUUUUGUUUCACGGAACAAGUUCAAUCUUUAUUUAAAAAAAAACAUUUUUCUCUAACAUAGAAGAACAAGAUUUUCUUUAAACUCAAUGUUGAAUUUGUUUUUUUUAAUUUUUUAUGAGAACAAUAUUUGUUUACCUCCCUUCUGAAACAAAUAAUAAAUUAUGUUUAUCAAGAAAUUUUAUUUCAAACAUUUUUUUAAUCCUCCCCCUCCCAAACAAAAUGAUUGGUCGGUACUUAAAACAUUUUGUAUCUUAUUUAUUUUUUGUUAUAUUAUUAGCAGCAGUAUAUUUUUCAUUGUAUUUUUAUUUUUGUAACAGAUUUUUUUGUAUUAUAAUAGAAAUGAUGUGACACUCCCCUUUUUAUGCAUGUAUAUUAUUACAAAAUCUCAUAAAUUUAUUUCAUAUA